AGGAUUAACGCUGGCGGCGUGCCUAACACAUGCAAGUCGAACGAGGUAGCAAUACCUAGUGGCAGACGGGUGAGUAACGCGUGGUCAACCUACCGUUGAGUGGGGGAUAACUAGCCGAAAGGUUAGCUAAUACCGCAUACGAGUCUCGGGGGCAUCCCUGGGCCUUAAAAGGAGCAAUCCGCUCGAUGACGGGACCGCGUCCCAUUAGCUAGAUGGUGGGGUAAUGGCCUACCAUGGCUCCGAUGGGUAGCUGGUUUGAGAGAGCGACCAGCCACACUGGGACUGAGAAACGGCCCAGACUCCUACGGGAGGCAGCAGUGAGGAAUUUUCCGCAAUGGGCGAAAGCCUGACGGAGCGACGCCGCGUGUGGGAAGAAGGCCUUCGGGUCGUAAACCACUGUCGAAGGGGACGAUAAUGACGGUACCUUGGAGGAGCCCGGCUAACUACGCGCCAGCAGCCGC
rnacentral:rRNA from 1 species